GUGGAUCCAUUUUCUUAACCUUUUUUAAUGUGAUGUAUCGGCGUAUUUUGCAUCAAAGUUUACUGCUCGGGGGUGCACUUCAGUCCGAUGGAGGGGCACGUGCAGCUCUGUUAUUUUAUUUUUGACCUGUUGUGCUUUGUUUGUUUUUGUGUAAAAAGAAGUCACGCUCGGGCCGCACUGCAGUCCGAUGGCGGGGCGCGUUCAGUGCUCUGUUGCUUCAGUGGGAGAAAAGGGAGUCCUAGUGUCGCCUCUAAACUCUUUUGGUGAUGCGGUUAUGUCCACCUACACGCACAACCCAAAAAAAGUGUCGAGUGGACUAUACGGUUGGUUGUUCCUGGGUUCAAUUCACUAAUGUGAGUGUGGCUGUGUAAAUGAAUGGAUAUGUAUGUGUUUGAAGCUCACUUUGUCCUCUCAUGCAAUUCACUAUAAAACUCCCUUGUGGUUCACUUGGUAAUCCGAAACAAAAACACCUCGGAAAGCAGCUCACUUCUCAUUACAUGUGGUUCACUUGCUCAGUCCCUGCGAUCCACUCGCCCGGUCUACACACGUAAAAAAAUAUUGAAUUUGGAAAAAGCUCAAGCAGUUCACUUUCGGUAGUGUCGCGGCCCGUUUAUGGUAGUCUCGAGGUUCACUUUUCAUUGUAUUGUGGUUCGCCAACACUCGACAUGAAGUGCACUCCACCUCGUUUGGGAAAAUUUGCAUCCCACAAAAAAAAAU
rnacentral:lncRNA from 1 species